CCCUUAGAUGUUCUGGGCCGCACGCGCGCUACACUGACGAAUGCAACGAGCUUAUAACCUUGGUCGAAAGGUCUGGGUAAUCUCCAAAUUUCGUCGUGAUGGGGAUAGAUUAUUGCAAUUAUUAAUCUUCAACGAGGAAUGCCUAGUAAGCGCAAGUCAUCAGCUUGCGUUGAUUACGUCCCUGCCCUUUGUACACACCGCCCGUCGCUCCUACCGAUUGAAUGGUCCGGUGAAGCGCUCGGACCGCGGCCUCUUGACGGUUCGCUGUCGAUUGGCUGUGGGAAGUUCGUUAAACCUUAUCAUUUAGAGGAAGGAGAAGUCGUAACA
rnacentral:rRNA from 1 species